CCGGCGACCGGCGCACGGGUGAGUAACACGUAUGCAACCUGCCCGUCUCAGGGGGAUAAUCGUCGGAAACGGCGUCUAAUACCCCGUAUGAAGCUGGACGGCAUCGUCUGGUUUUGAAAGAAUAUCGGAGACGGAUGGGCAUGCGGCGCGUUAGCUAGUUGGCGGGGUAACGGCCCACCAAGGCGACGAUGCGUAGGGGUUCUGAGAGGAAGGUCCCCCACACUGGUACUGAGACACGGACCAGACUCCUACGGAAGGCAGCAG
rnacentral:rRNA from 1 species